CCUACGGGAGGCAGCAGUGAGGAAUAUUGGUCAAUGGGCGCGAGCCUGAACCAGCCAAGUAGCGUGAAGGAUGACUGCCCUACGGGUUGUAAACUUCUUUUAUACAGGAAUAAAGUGAGUCACGUGUGCCUUUUUGUAUGUACUUUAUGAAUAAGGAUCGGCUAAUUCCGUGCCAGCAGCCGCGGUAAUACGGACGGUCCGGGCGUUAUCCGGAUUUAGUGGGUUUAAAGGGAGCGUAGGCCGCCGGUCAAGCUUGCUGUGAAAUGUCCGGGCUCAACCCGGGCCUUGCAGCGCGAACUGGCGUGCUUGAGUCCGCGGAAAGCAGGCGGAAUUCGUGGUGUAGCGGUGAAAUGCUUAGAUAUGACGAAGAACCCCGAUUGCGAAGGCAGCUUGCUGCAGCGGAACUGACGCUGAUGCUCGAAGGUGCGGGUAUCAAACAGGAUUAGAUACCCGGGUAGUC
rnacentral:rRNA from 1 species